UACGUAGGGGGCAAGCGUUAUCCGGAAUUACUGGGCGUAAAGCGCACGCAGGCGGUUCGCCAAGUUUGGAGUGACAGUUGUCGGCUCAACCGACAAAGGACUUCAAAAACUGGUGAACUUGAGGACGAGAGAGGAACAUGGAACUCCAGGUGUAGUAGUGAAAUGCGUAGAUAUCUGGAAGAACACCAAUGGCGAAGGCAAUGUUCUGGCUCGUUUCUGACGCUCAGGUACGAAAGCCAGGGGAGCGAACGGG
rnacentral:rRNA from 1 species